UCUACAUCCAAAGCACCGCCCUGUUAGGUAGAGUCAGAGGGAGCUCCCCGCCUUCAUAAGGACAGGUGAGGGCAAUUAGUGCCUCUUUGUCUGAGGCCUGGUUGUGUGGCAGGAUUGCUGUGUCGUGCAGUUGUGGUGACUGUCCUGAGUGAUCCAGAUGGAGCAUGCUCUGUAGCCCUGUGCUGAAGAGGCAAAGACUCAGCUCCUCCAUCUCCCCUUUUAAGCCAGAGUAGAGCUUUUCAACUGUUGCAUUGCUUCUUAGCAGAGCCCCACAUGUACAAGGUAACUGAAACCAGUAUGGUAAGGUAGGAGGGUCAUGCCCUCUGAGGUAUGUUGUUGUCAGCUGAUGAGACUGACUUUUGUUAUGUUUUCUUUCCCCUUAUUGCAGAUUUAAGGCCAGACUGCUGCUUUGCCUGAGCCAGUUCGCCAAGGUGGUUGGCGAAUGUGUUACAGACUGUACAACUUACAUAAUCUGUAGAUGGUUGAAUACUUUUUAUAUUGGGUGUAGUGACCCUGAAUGUCUGUGAAUCUGAACCAACUGAAUCUCACUGUAUUUUCUGUCUUUUGUUUGAUUAGGCAGUGGGACGACCUGCGGGGAGUAGUCGUGGGAUAGGCACCCCUCCUUGCAUGCAGUGUGGUAUAUUUGAAGGGUAGUGGUCACGUCAUUGGGUUGUAGGUUUGACUUUCCUUGCAGUGCAAGUUGUAGUGUUUGUAGUGAUCAGUGUGCACACAAGGUGAUUUCGAUUGGGUGAUAGAGUCUCCCCGCGGUGAGUACCCUGUCCUGCCUAUUCCUCGCGAUCAUUUAAUCUUAUUGUAUUUUAUGUUAUGGUGAAGCCAUUUGCUAUUUAUAUACUGGUUGUUUUGACCAUUUUAGUAUUGUGGAAUAAACUAAUUUUGACUAGUUUUAUGGUUUCUCUUUUCUUUUUCAGGUCUUUUGCCAGUAUAAUUUAUUUUUAAUAAAUAUUAUUGGAGAGCUGAAUGCACGUCUCCCGCUUUUCUUGAACCCUUUAAAAAUUGUGUCAACGCUCAGAUGGUUGGUGUCUAGGGCUGGUAUAAUUCUAUUCUGGGUAUCGGCCCGCAUUGUAACCUGGGUGGGGUCACAAACUGGCGCUGUGAGCAGGGUCUUAGAGCCCAUAGACGUGCAUUCAAAUCAGUUGGUUCAGUGGAAUGAUUUUAA